ACGCUCGACACCUACGGGGGGCAGCAGUGGGGAAUAUUGCACAAUGGGGGAAACCCUGAUGCAGCGACGCCGCGUGAAGGAAGAAGUAUUUCGGUAUGUAAACUUCUAUCAGCAGGGAAGAAAAUGACGGUACCUGACUAAGAAGCCCCGGCUAACUACGUGCCAGCACGCCGCGGUAAUCUGAGGCGGGCUGGACAAGGC
rnacentral:rRNA from 1 species